rnacentral:lncRNA from 1 species
UCCGAUCUGACCUGAACUACAUGAAGAUUGAGCUAAACCAAACCAAACCAUAAGUCGGCUCGACUUAAAUCAAAAUAUAAAGUAUUCAAGCUGAAUUACAAACUGGUUCAACUCAAACCCAAACCCAAAGACUGCGUUUGGUUCGGGUAUAAGUAAGAACUGCUUGUUCUAGGGAUAGGUACAAGUUCAAAUAUAAGCAGGAACUAGACCAAUUUUGCGUUUGGAUGAAAAUUGGGUUGUUCUUAGGAAUAAGAUAAAUAGUGUUUGGAUGGUUAGAAUGGAACAAGAGCAAUAAGAGUUAUAAUUUGAAAUUAAAAUUAUAUUUUGUAAUUAAUUAACAUCAAAAUAUUACUUAAAAAUAAAUAAUAAAUUAAUUAUUAAUAAUUAAUUAUAAAAUAAUAAUUAUUAAUAAUAAUUAAUUAUAAAAAAUAAAUUAAUAAUAUCGAUUAUCUAAUUAAUAAUAAUAAUAAUAAUUAAUAAUAAUUAAUAAAUAAUAAUAAUUAAUAAUUAUUAUUUAUUAAUUAUAAAUAAUAAAUUAAUAAUAAUAUCGAUUAUAUAAUUAUUAAUAAUAAUUAUUAUUAAUAUUUAUUAAUAAAUAAUAAUAAUUAUUAUUAAUAAAUUAUAAAUAAUAAAUUAAUAAUAAUAUCGAUUAUCUAAUUAUUAAGAAUAAUAAUAAUUAUUAAUUAAUUAUAAAUAAUAAAUAAAUAAAUUAUUAAUUAUUAAAGCAAUAAAUAAUGAUUUAAAUAUAUUAAUUAGAUUAAUUAAUAAUUCACUGCCAUUAAAAUUAAAUUUGGAUUUUAAUUAACCUUUUUCUUAUCAAGAAACAAGCUUAUUCCAGGAAAAGGGUGGAACAGCAGUUCCAGCCUUAUACCAGCUUGUUCUAGAAACUCGGGAAUUACUGUUCUCGGGUACCAAACAUACCGUUUGGGAAUAAAAGGGGGAACAAGGGCUUAUUCCCCUUGUUGUUCCCGAACCAAACGCUACCAAAAGGUUUUAAGUUGAGUCGGAAUGUAAGAGCUCAAUUUAAAUCAAACUCAAACAGAUCUUGAACCAAACCAUAUGGGUUCGAUCCAAACCGCAUUGAAUUAUAAGAAGGUCAAAGUUGAGCCAAGAUAUAAGGGCUCAACCCAACCCAAAAUUAAAGGGGGCUUGAACCAAGUCACAGAGGUUCGACUUAAACCAAGUCUCGACGGGCUCCGAACCAAAGCAUAAUGGUUCAACCCAAACCAAAUUCAAAGUGACCAAACAAACGUAAGGUCGUCCAACUCAAAUCAAACACGAAGGUUUUAAGUCAAUUCAACUUGAACCCAAUCGUGAUGAUUCGAGUUAAGUAAACCAGCUCCAUUCCAACCGAAGCAAAUUGGCGGUUCAAACUGAGCUAAAUUCAACUCAAUUGGCUAAGUCAACUUAAUCGACUCAUAAUCCGGAAACAAAUGUCCCUCAAGUCGUUAAACUGAACAAAUGACCCUCAAGUCGUUAAACUGAACAAGCAAAUCAAACUCAAUAUGACCAUAAAGUCGUUAAACUGACCAAUUAAAUCAAACUCAAUUUGACCACCAAGGCGUUAAAUUGGGUAAUCAAAUUAAACUCGAUUUGACCGUCAAGUCAUUAAACUGAGCAAAUUAAAAUGAAAUUCAAUCUCAAACCGACCGCCAUGUCAUCGACCGCCAAGUCGCUAAACUAAGUAUUCUAAUCUUAUAAAAUUCAUGUACAGUUGGGGUAUGCCCCUGCUUAAGCCAUGUACACGGCAAAUCGUAUUAAUAAAAUUUUAUCUGCUUGUUUUAUGUCUUUUACUAUCAGUAUUUAUAUUUGGUCUCUUAAUCGAGGGUUCCGUAACACCGAAAGUGUGGGGUAACAGCAGAUUCUUGAGUAUGUUGGAAGUCAUGAACCUAUAAUCUUAAUUUUAAAAUAAAACAUAAAUAGAUUUAACCUCUACCAUGAAUGACCACUCGCCUUAGAAAUACCUACGGCGGGGCCGGUUCGUUCGCGGCAGACGCUCUCCCAGUCAAACAUAAGACAAAUCAUAUUAGUCAUAUUAGCUCAGACCUGGGUGAAUCAAUUACAUAAUGUUUUCUUGCAAUGUAGAAGCUGAGAACAUCAGCUCUUUUGAGAUUCUUUCAGAUUCAUGGACUUUUUUGUGCCUUUGAUCAAGAUUGGGGAAUUGCUUAUAGUUCAUGGAUGUGUUGUGGUGAGGUAGGAUUUGGCAAUGAGUCUGGUUGGGUUAAGUUGAGGUGGCAUAGUAGGGUACAUAGGUUUGAUCCAAACUUGACGCCAUUUCUCUAGGAGACCAGCUUAGCUAGCGCUUAUUCAGGUUAUAAGUGCUACUUUGGUGAGGAUUUGCCUUAAAAAGCAACAAAAAUUUGGAGGAUAGAGCGUGAGAGAGAGAGAGAGAGAGAGAGAGAGAGAGAGAGUAGACCCUUUUCUUCUUUCAAUGUGCAACAAAGCAAACGAGGAUUCAAGGUUUAUUACUUUCCUUUUCUCCUUUCAAUGAACAACAAAGCUGACAAGGGUUUAAUAAUUGGCACUUUCCUAUGUAUGUGGGAGGGAGGAAGGGAAUGCACAACGAAGCAAACAAGGUUUCAAAUAUUAGUACUUUCCUAUGCAUAUAGGAGGGAGGGUGCAAGUAUAACAGAGCAGACGAGGGUUCAAGGAUUAGCACUUUCCUAUGUAUAGAGGAGAGAGAAUGGGCAUCAUUUCUUUUCUUUUCUUGGCGUCAUUCCUUUUCUUUUCUUGAUACAUGGUAAACUAGGAUAAAGUGGCAGCCUUAACAAAUAAUAUAGGGGCGAGAGAGUGGGAAGGGACGGCAGCCCCUCUUUGUUUCGGAUGCAUGCCAAAGAAAUGGUCCAAAUAAUAAUCUUUCAGUUGAGAAGAAAAAUCUAUUCUUUUUAAUGUAUCGACUAUUGAAUGCCCUUCGGUUAGGGCUGGCAAAUGAGCGAGCCGGCUCGUGUUCGACUCGCGUUCGACUCGAUAUUUGGCUCGCUCGAGCUCGACUCGAAAUUAAAUGACGAGCUUGAACAAAAAAAAAAGCUCGAAAUUCAUUUCAAGCCGAGCUUGAGUAUUACUCAGCUCGUUCGAAUUAGGCUUGAAAAGCUCGAAAAGCUCGAGUAUAUAUAUAUAUAUAUAUAUAUAUAUAUAUUACUAUGCUAUCGAAAGUAUAGAGGAUCUGGCGUUUUCGAUUUUUUGAUUCUUAGAUCAACUCCUUUAAUCAUUUCUUAUUUUUGGAUUAAUACUAUUAUUACCUUGUAAAACCACUUAAUUCUAGGGGUAUUAUUUAAUCCUAGGGGGGAUCGCAAUCAUUCCAACCAUACAAUUCUUAAUCAAAGGUCAAAAAUUCGAAAAUAUCAAAUUCUUUAUAUUUUCAAUAGCAUAGUAGUUCCACAUUAUAUAUAUAUAUAUAUAUAUAUAUAUAUAUAUAAAUUUAUAAUAAUAUUUUAAUUAUAUAUAGGCUGAGUGAAUAAUCUGAGUUUAGUUAAAAUUGGGCUAAUGUUGUUGGCCCAUAAAAAUAUUCCUAAUAGAACAAUAAAAGAGCGAAAUUUCACUAAAUUUAUACAUUUUUAAUUUCUUUUCUUUCUUUUAUAGAGCUUAAAUUCUCAAUAUGUUUCUCUCUUUCUCUUUUCUGUCUCUCACCCUAAGUGGCCAAGCCUGAAGCCCUCUAAGUUACCAAGUAACAGCAUAUACCCGCCGUUGCCUACCUUGCUAUUAAUUGUAUACUUGAGAAAUAUACAGAAUAUUUUUAAAGUAAAAAAUUAUUAUUCAUAUAAAAUUUUAAUUUUAGUUAUAUAUGAUUGGAUAGUUUAAUCCAAUAUUUAUCUAUAUAAUUUAUUUAUUUUUGACUGUAUAAAUGAAAAUAAAUAAUAUGGAGAUUGAAGGCGGAAGAAAAGACAUGUGAGGCUGAAAAGAUUAGAUAUUCAACUCAUAAAUUAUUUUUUUUCAUAUUAUAAUACUAUAUUUUGUAUAAUUAUUUUGUACUUUGAACUAUUAGACAUAUUUUUGUAUCAAAUUAUAGAUAAUGUUCUAUACAAAUUAAACUAUUGAUCGUAUGAUGUUGAGAAUUUCAAGCGGCUCGUUUAGGGCUCGAGCUCGCUCGACUCGAAAUUAGGCUCGCUCAAGCUCGGCUCGAAUUAAUUUCAAUCCAAACUUGAGCUUAAAUUUAGGCUCGAAAUUAAUUUCAAGCCGAAAUUGAGCCGAGGCAAGCUCGCUCGAGCUCGGCUCGUUUCCACCCCUGCCUUCGGUUUACCUAAAUAUAUCUGUAUGAAUGUUCUGAGAAGAACUAGUUGCCAUGACCUAUCCAAAAAAUAGUCUACCUGAGUUCAACCUUACCUGCCAACCUGUUAAAUGUUCUUGGCUUGUACUCGACACCUUUAACGAACAAAAGUGUUAAAAAUACCUUCUUGGGGUGGAGAUUGGCACAUCUAUGAUAGGUGAUUAUUUUGUAAAUCUUGAAACAUUGGUUGUAAAUCUUAAAACAUUGGUUCUGAUCUCCCGAAUAUUGUAAUUUGAUUCGAUAAUAGUUUCUACUCAAAUCUUUUAGAAAUGUGCCUUCUAUGUUAGAUAACUUGCUUUAGACUCAUGUAGCUUCUCUUAGUGCCCUGUUUUUGUGCUCAUAUGAAUACUUGUAUGAAUACACUCUUUUGCAGUUUUUGAUUGUCUAAGCAUGUAAGUCACAGUUGCUGAUUGCCAGUAAUCAUGCCUAUAAAUAUAAAAGAUUGCUGUACCAUGCGAUUUCAACCUUAUAUCUACCCAUUAGCUGUGACUUUUAGCCCCUACAGCUUUAUUUGUUGGCAUUGCUGCCAGCUGGACUUUUUGCAGAAUAAAAAAAAGAUAUUAGCAGGAAAGAAUUGUCAACACCCCAUUUUGCCUAUAAAAUGUUGUCUCGCAGUUGCUGCUCCUGUCAACCAUUAUGCCUAAGGCAGCGGCUGUUAUUUGCGAACUCCAAAUUUGUACUACUUUUAUGGCAUAAAAUGUUAAUUUUUGUUAACUAGUAUAGGGCCUGCACUGUGCGGCGGUAGGUGGUAUUUUAGACAAUUAGUAUAUUCAGUUAUUAAAAUUUUAAGAUUGAAAAAAUUAUAACUAAAGAAAUACAAAAGAGGAAAAAAAAACUAAAGUAGUCUUUUGUACAUUAUAAAAAAUAACUUUUUUAUUAAUAUUUUCUUAACUUUCAGCAUUUGUAAAAUUAAAUUAUACUAAUAAUUUUAUUUAAAAUUCAAUCAAAUUUUUUACUUUUGAUAGUUAUUUUGUAAAUAAAUUUUUUAACUGAAAAGUUGAAGUUGGAGGACUUAUUUUAAGUUGAAGAAUAGGUGAGGGUAUCUUUGUGUUAAGUAUAAAAAUAUAUAAACACCGUUCUCUAACAGCCUAAGCUUUUAGAUUAGAACGGUUGUUUUACAUAGUAUCAGAGUAGGUGGUGGUGAGUUCGAGUCACGCUAGGCUCUAGCAUUAUUAAUUUCCUCCCAUCCAUUUAAUUUAAGUUCACAUCGUAGGCCUUCUCGAGCCCAGACGUGAGGGGGAAUGUUAAAUAUAAAUAUAUAAACACCGUUUUCUAACAGCUUAAGCUUUUAGAGUACAAUGGUUGUUUUCUCACUUUGCCUUGUUAAAAUUGAUUGGAGAAAGAGAAACUAUUACAUGCACCUAGUGUAUAAUAAUACUCUAUACACCGCAACUUGUAUUAGAUGAUUAAUGCUCUAAUAUUAAAAUUUAAUUAAAUAUGUAUCAUCUACAAAGUCUAAUAAUUUAAAUUAUAUUUGAUGAAUUAAUUUUAAAAUCUCUAUUAAAGAGUUUUAGGCAUGUAGUGUAUGUACAAACAUACACUUGGUGUAGAGAAUGUUUAAUAAGAUGCACUCAUAAUUCCGAGAGAUUAGAGAAAUCUUUGCUUACACCUGGUGCGUACGAAUGCUCCAUACACCACACAGAAUAUUAGAUGAUUGAUAGAAUAUUUGAUAAUUAAUAUUGUAAAAUAAAAUAUGAUAUAAUAUAUAUAAUAUAAAAUAUCUAAAUAAUUUGUUGUACUACAGAAAUUUAUCUUUGAUGCACAUUUUAGAGUCGAUUUACGGUGAAAUGGGUGCGUCCAAAAUUUUUGUUGGAUAUGUGGCAAACUCCCAUUGGUUUAUGCCUUAAUUGGCAAUGUGGCUCUCUCACAAAGCAUUUUCUUGACGUGACCGAACUGUCAAAUUAUAUAUUGUGUAGAUUCCUGCUACUAUUUACCUUAAUAAUUACUCAUUGUAGUGGAGUUAACUAAUUAGGCUAUUGUUUGCAUAAAUUAUUUGACAAGACAUGCCUUUAUUCCAUUUAUAUAUAUCUAAACCGAUCUGUUCAUGUAAUUUAUUAAUAUCUGUUAAAAAUGUCUGGUUUCAGCAAUUAAGUUUUGUAUGUCCUCGUUCUUAGCCCUAGUAAUGUGUCAUUCUUUUAUAUUUUAUCAUUCUAUUUUAGGACUCUACUUUCUCGAUAUAUUGUAUAGUGUGCACAGAGCAUUUAUGAAAAGAACCCCCUUUAUAACAUAAAAAAUGCUGGAAUGAGGUCUCAUCAAACCAUUACAGAGACCAAAAGCAUGAAAAGUUUGUUACUCAAAUUUUCAUGAUACACAGCUAAACAUGAAAAUUUCUUUGUUUGUUUUGUUAAAUCGUUUGAUAUAUCUCCUCCAAGUCCAAUUUUAUACUUUAGG